CUAGAGACACCCUGUAGAUUCUAUAGGGUGUCUCUUUGCUUCUGUCUAGAGACACCCUGUAGAUUCUAUAGGGUGUCUCUUUG
rnacentral:pre_miRNA from 13 species